CUUUAUAAAGUCUUUGGAUUGAUAUGCAAUUGAAACCUACGUAGGGUUGCUCCGAAAGUUAUGCCUCCUGUUUAUUUCCAUGGAAACUGCAACAGCUACAAGAAGCUCAGUAAAUCUCAAUAGCACUGUUUGACAGAGGAAAUUCUCAGCUACAAACACUGUUUUUCAGUGUAGUCAUCAUCAUUAGCCAAUGUCUAUGGACAAGCUGAUGGAGACACUCAUCAUUUCAUGAUGUGACAGCUGUAUGUGGCUGUCUGGAACAUGGAUUGUCUUUCACAUCACUGUCACCACUGCUGAAAUGAACCACCUGCCACCACACCACACUCCCAUCCAUUGUUUGAUCUCCAUAAAUGUUCAGCGAACAUCAAUGAAUAUCAGUUGGUGCAAUUUUUUUUUUUUGGAAUUCAAUUCCACACUUUUGUUUCAUACGCAUUUUUCAGACUACCCCUCUCCUGCUAUCUGAUGCAUGGCAACAAAACAUAAUGGAACAUUGGUGGGGACGUUCAACCUCUACUGCCAUACCACCAGCAUCCACCUAUGACAUCAUGGGCCAACAUAAUAAAUAAGGAGGCAUUACUUUUGGAGCACCCCUCAUACAUUCUCUACUUGAAUGAAAAAAAGGAUAGAUUUGCAUUUCUCAUUGAAGCUGGGUUAGUUCAGAUGUUGUCUUUUCUUAAGCAAUAGUGUUUGUUACUCUUUAACAUUUCACAGCAUUUGUAGAAGCCCAGAAUUGUAUCUGAAAUCACAGGAAAAUACACCCAGCUUUUUCAGGAGAUGGAAUUCCCAAAGAUCCACAAUUUAAUCCUGCUUUUAUUUCACACCAUCUGCCUGAUAUGAAGUCCAUCCAGAUUCUACAGCAUGCCUGCACAAAUUAUAGUUCUGCUGCAGGAACUGUUCGAUCUGCUCGUUGAGCAGGUAGCUUCAAAUAAGGGCACUAAACUGCAGAAGUAGCUAAUAAAUGAAUGUUAGUUGUUAUGCAGUAUACUAAUAACAAACACAAUGAUUUAAUCUAUUUGUUCAUUUUCCAAUAAUAAGCUUAAUUAUAUUUUCAAUAUGCUCAACCAGUAUUAGAUAAUUAAAUUGUGAGAUGAAUAAUUAGUUGUCAGCUUCACUAUUUACAUUCUGUGUAUUUAAGAUUGAAAUGUGUGUCUCAUCUAUUGAGAGAAAACAGCUGUUUGAAAACUAGUGGAGUUAGAGAUGACAAUUUUGAAGGCUUGUUCAUUAUUUUUGUGUUCCUACAUGAAGUGAAAAAUAACAUCAAGUGAUGUAAUGAUUGUAUUCUGAAAAAUUCUGUUAUCCAUUUAUUUAUAUUCUAGUCUAGACUGUAUCUUUCACCAUGAAACAUUUCCAAAGGUGAAGCUGAAGAAACACUGGAACAGAUGAAAAUAGCAAAAGAGCAUCCUAAAAGGCUUUAGGUAUUCAUUCUUCUAUCUCAGGAACAGAUUGAAAAGUUAAUUCUGCUGUGGCAAGGAAUUUAAACCAUGGGAUUUCAGACCUGAGAUGUUGUUUGAUAUGAUUUGAUAUGUUUCUCAACUGCUUACAGAAGAUUGAGGUAUUACUAAUAAUCUAUCUUGAUGAUUAAAAGCACAGUAUUUGAGAAACAUUGUCUAUUUGCAGUAAUACAGUUGUAUUUGGGUAAGUGUGUGGGCUCGGCUGUCCAUUAGCAGCAGAUAGGUCCAGGUAUUCCCCAGGACAGAGGUAUCCCGUAGAGCCUGUACCUGUAGGUGUUCACCACUCAGCAGGAGUCUGUUUGGAGAACCAGUGGCUGUUUGGCUGCUGAAGAAGGAUUGCAUAUUUCUAAAUGCACUGGGAACCAGCUGUUUUCAUCCCUUUGGGGCAGAAAACAAUUACUACAUUCAAGUGAAAUCGGAGACCAUAGAAAUGUAUUUGGCACAUGUUACAAAGCAGGUUAUAGUGGGUUCACUUCCACUCGUCGUAAAAAGAUUUGUGUUUAAUUUUCAUAGCAACAUUUUGUGUAAGGCUAUAUAAAUAAAUCAUGUGUUUAAACAUGAAAGUAUGCUUAGUAGUGCAUGCUCUCUUCAGAUCAGGCUUCUAAAACUUAAUCUGCUAAAAUUAAAAUGGAAUUAUAUAUGUAUGUUCAAUGGAACAGUUCAUUUCCACUUGUGUUUUAAUCCUGCAAGUUACUCAACCUGGGUAAGACAUUGCUGGAAUUACCUGUUGCUCCUCCACAUUUUUCAUAUUAAUUUCUUAAGAUAUUUAUAUGUUUUAACUUCUUGUUCUGCCAAACCAGAAGACAUAAAGUUGAAUGAGCCCAAAUAAUCUCAAAACGUAGGAAUUGUUAUUGCCUUUUUCUUUCAUAGUUGUUAAUUACUUUUGUUAAUUUGAUUAAUGUGUUGGAAUUUCAAAAUCUGGAAAAAUUGGAAUUUGUUGGAUUCAACAGGAAAAUUUUAAGUGAGCAGGUCUCCAAAAUGAAGAGUUUUUGGAAAGCUAUGAAGAGUCUAAAAAGAGAAUGUACGGCCUUCAGAUUACACCAAUAUGGUAGUAUUUCACCCUGCAGAUGGGCACUUGUGCCAUUGUCUACUUGUUUAUUUUAAAGUAUCAGUGAGCUUGGAGAUUGUGGCACUGGGAAAUUGAUAAGGCUGAACAGAAGUAGGCAUGCCUACAACUUCGUGUUGAACCAGAAAUUCAUUUUCUUAAGAAAAGUCUUUCUGGAUACUUACUCCUCAUCAUAAGAUUGAAUUAUUUAGCAGUGCCACUUACAGAGAAGCAUUUAGAUGGCUGAUACUGUCUGUAUAGAAAUGUGAGUGAAUAAAAUAUGGAUAAUGUGAAACAAAAUCUCUUGCUAACAUUUACCAAAAUUAACUAAUUAAGAAAUAUAUAUAUAUAUAUUUUUGCCACAGUCUGUUUUGUAAGCUUUUUUUUCCUGAGGGUUAGGAUGCAAUAUCUGUAUGGCUCUGGUAUAAAUAAUUAAUCAAUCGAUUCUACUUAAAGAGUACCGAAGCUUUUUAAAACGUUUAGUGAUAUUUUGCAAUGAUAGUUAAAAUAACUCCUUAAAACUAUAUCCAAUAAUAGCCACUGAAUGAAUUUUUUAUAAAACAGAGUAUUUAUUACUGUUCUUUCCACAUAAGCUUUUAGGUUGUUUUAAUGAUCCUGGUGUUAAUUCAUUGAUAUAAAUAACAGCAAGCUUGGAAAUGGGGUUUUGUUCUGAAAAGUUUAAUUUUCUUUUGAUAUCCGUUCAAAUAAAGCACUACCUAUCCCAUUAUUUCCUAUUUGGCACAGCUGCCUUCUGGCUCAAGCACCUGGUUGUCCUCAGUGCAGGCUCUGGUCCAGUGCUUGGGAUGCUCUGAGCAUCUGCGUUAAAUGGUGGCUGCAGAUAUGUGAGGAGUAUAGAGCUGCUCGCUCCCAGGUGAGUGCCCCAGCCACUGGCCCAGGGCUUGUUUUUGCUCCACCUGGGGUUUCUAGCAGAAAGCAGCCAGACG
ensembl:lncRNA